CAGUGGGGAAUUUUGGACAAUGGGCGCAAGCCUGAUCCAGCCAUGCCGCGUGCGGGAAGAAGGCCUUCGGGUUGUAAACCGCUUUUGUCAGGGAAGAAAUCUUGCGGACGAAUACUCUGCGAGGAUGACGGUACCUGAAGAAUAAGCACCGGCUAACUACGUGCCAGCAGCCGCGGUAAUACGUAGGGUGCAAGCGUUAAUCGGAAUUACUGGGCGUAAAGCGUGCGCAGGCGGUCGUGCAAGACAGAUGUGAAAUCCCCGGGCUCAACCUGGGAACUGCAUUUGUGACUGCACGGCUGGAGUGCGGCAGAGGGGGAUGGAAUUCCGCGUGUAGCAGUGAAAUGCGUAGAUAUGCGGAGGAACACCGAUGGCGAAGGCAAUCCCCUGGACCUGUACUGACGCUCAUGCACGAAAGCGUGGGGAGCAAACAGGAUUAGA
rnacentral:rRNA from 1 species